GGUGGAGAUGGGAGGAGAGAGAGGAUAGAGGAGGAGAACAGAGGAGAAGAGAGGAGAAGAGAUGAGAGAAGGGGUGUCGAACGGGACCGUGCAGGCGUGUGUGCGUUGCUGUGUGUUUGUGUGCGUGUGAGAACACAGGGCCCUGACAGACAGCGGUGAGAAGGACUAAGCUCAUUGAGAAAAGUGACAACCCCAGCUGAGAUAAAACCAAUGAUGAUUUGUACUGUAUCUUCAGGGGAUAAAAGCACUUCUAUUGGAUUCUGAGGGCCCCACCGCGUAGGGGAUUUUAGGCCCCAGCAUGCAGGGAUCUGGUAGGCCCCAGCACGGAGGAGAGAGGAGUGGAGGGGAGAGUACCCCGCUAGGGAUGGAAUCAGCAUGGUUAAACAGUCGCCCACCCGGUCAGUCUCAGGGUUGAUUAAGAGAGAGCUACACCUGGAUGGUUUGGUGACUGAUCAAGACAAGGUCAUCAGACACACUGAUGCAAACAAGAGCUACAUAAAGGGACGACUGAUCAGUAAAGAUGUUGAGGACAGCUUUGAGGUGAAGACAAGACAGAACAGUCCUCCAGCUCUGUUUGUGUCUCAACUCGGACUCAGCUUUGGUCUCUUGAGCCAAUCACCAAUCUGACGUUCCAACAUUAUUCUGAUACACACACACAUACAGAGACACACUAACACAGCCGCAAUCAUCUUGAUUUCUUGUGCUGAGAAAUGACAUCACAUGCUAAUUGCUAGCAGAGGGAUCUUUAAUAAAUGUUUCAUUCUGCACAGCA